CGUCUUUUUCUAUUUUCGCCUAACAGAUGGAUGCCACCACCCCCAAAUACUCCAAGGCUAGGUACGAUGAAAUCAUCAAGGAGGUGUCUUCAUACCUGAAGAAGGUCGGAUACAACCCUGACAAAAUCCCAUUUGUGCCAAUCUCUGGAUUCGAGGGAGACAACAUGAUUGAGAGGUCAACCAACCUUGACUGGUACAAGGGACCAACUCUUCUUGAGGCUCUUGACCAGAUCAACGAGCCCAAGAGGCCAUCAGACAAGCCCCUUCGUCUUCCACUUCAGGAUGUCUACAAGAUUGGUGGUAUUGGAACGGUGCCAGUGGGACGUGUUGAGACUGGUAUGAUCAAGCCUGGUAUGGUUGUUACCUUUGCUCCCACAGGGUUGACCACUGAGGUUAAGUCUGUUGAGAUGCACCACGAGUCUCUUCUUGAGGCACUUCCCGGUGACAAUGUUGGAUUCAAUGUCAAGAAUGUUGCUGUCAAGGAUCUUAAGAGAGGAUACGUUGCCUCUAACUCCAAGGAUGAUCCAGCUAAGGGUGCCGCCAACUUCACCUCCCAGGUCAUCAUCAUGAACCACCCUGGUCAGAUUGGUAACGGUUACGCCCCAGUUCUCGAUUGCCACACCUCUCACAUUGCAGUCAAGUUCUCUGAGAUCUUGACCAAGAUUGACAGGCGUUCUGGUAAGGAGAUUGAGAAGGAGCCCAAGUUUUUGAAGAAUGGUGACGCUGGUAUGGUUAAGAUGACCCCAACCAAGCCCAUGGUUGUUGAGACUUUCUCCGAGUACCCACCUUUGGGACGUUUCGCUGUUAGGGACAUGAGGCAGACCGUUGCUGUUGGUGUUAUUAAGAGCGUGGACAAGAAGGACCCAACUGGAGCCAAGGUCACCAAGGCUGCAGUGAAGAAGGGUGCCAAAUGAUGAGACUUUCGUUAUGAUCGACUCUCUUAUGGUUUUCUUUGGUUCUUAAAACUUUGAUGGCGUUUGAGCCUUUUUCUUUUUUCUCUUUAUUUCUGUGACUUUCUCUCUCCCUCCUUUUUGGAUAUCUCUGAGACUUUUUAUUAUGGUUUUCAAUUAUGCAGUUUCCGGAUAAUUUUGCUUGAAACUUAUUUAGGAGUUGUGUUACAAAGUUGCUGUCUUUCUUUGUUCUUGUUUAAACAAUCAUUCAGAGAUCAACCCAACCAUACUUAGCGUUUUAAGAUCUAUGUAAGAGAUAGGGUUCUAUAGUUUCGUUAGAAUUAACUUGUGCUUAGUGUUUUCUGACAAUUACUUCAUACGAACUUUUUAAAAAGACUUAGGUUCUCAAUCAACAAACAGAAAUAGUAAUUUAUCAAUAAAAAAUGCUGAGAACUAAAAACCAAAAGAAAUGGAUAAGGCC
rnacentral:sRNA from 1 species